AACACUUCUAAAUUUAUUUUUGUUAGUCCAUUUUGCAUUGCUACCAAGGAAUACUUGAAGCUGGGCAAUUUAUAAAGAAAAGUGGUUUUGCAGGCUGUACAAGAAGCAUAGUGUCAGCAUCUGCUUUGGGUGAGGGCCUCAGGAAACUAACAGUUAUGACAGAAGGCAAAAGGGCAGCCAGCAUAUGGCAAGAGAAAGAGGAAGGAGGUAUCAGGCCUUUUAAACAACCAGAUCUUAUGCUGUCUCAUAGAGUGAGAACUCACUCAUUAAUGCGAUGACAGCACCAAGCUAUUCAUGAGGGAUCUGCCCCCAUGAGGCAAACACCUCCCACCCCACGAGGCCCACCUGCAACACUGGAGGUCACAUUUCAACAUGAGAUUUGGAAAGGAAAAAACAUCCAAACCGUAUCAACGGCCUGCUACAUACAGCCAACUGAAUACUAAAUCAUAUACCUAUCUGUUUUAGACUAAAAACAUACUCCUAACAAAGCACUUAACUCUAAAAAUCAUAAAACAAAAAGCAGAUUGUCUACAAAGUAGGUAUCAUGAGGAUGUGGGUACAGGGCCCACUUCAUAAUUUGUGUAUCUCCAUAAAUUAUGGAUGCCCAUGUUCAAAAUGAGGGCUUCUUAUUUUAAAAACAGGAAAAAGAGCCCUGUUAAAGGUAUUAAAAUAUAUAUUAUUUUCUUUCUGUGGUUUCCCUUUCAAAUUGCCAUGAUGCUUUUUAUUUAUCUUUAUAAGAAAAAAUGUAAAUUGUAUAUUAUUUGCAUGCAUGCUACCAUUUAAGUUUAUAUCAUGUGAUAUCACUUUUAAAUAUAAAUAUUAGAGCAACUAAAUUUGCAGAAUCACAAAAAUUGCACAAUUCAUAUUUUUAGCUUGUCCCUGACAGUGCCUCUAGCAGGCCUGAAGAAAAAAGAUGUAAGCCAGAUUCAGGAAGGUUUGAACAAGAAAGAAAGGGCCCUUCCAGACCAGGAGCCAACCCAAGGGUAUGCACUCUAUGGCAGCAGGGAUGCUCAUGGGACAAGUAUAAACUCACAAAGGCUCCUGAGAGUGCCACCCUUGAUGAAUGGCAAGCACCAGGCCUGACAGCUAAAGGAUGCCACCUCCUGCCAGCCUCCGGGUGGAUUUGCUACAACCUAGCUGGAGAUGGUGUCUAGGAAAGCCAAGUCUGUCAUCUCCCUUUGCUACAGGCGCAUGGUUACAAUCCAUAGUAGAGGCAUCCCCCAAGGGUCUUUUAACCUUUGCUGCAAGACAUGGUAGAUACUAGAUUGAGGGUGGGACAGAAGUUGUAGGUUCUCUUUCGCAAGGACACAGUCGAGCUGGAUGCCUACCUGACAAAGCUGGGUGCUGUCUGGUGCUGUCUACUCAGAUGAGGAUGGCUAUUGCCAUCCACUACUGAAACACUUCAGUGCAUGUGUGUACAACCUCCACUUUAUCCAUUUCAUGAGUACCUAGGCCCCUCCUUGAUUUCAGUCCCAUCAUGAGUCUCUGAGCAGAGAAUCCAGCCAUGCCAUGCUUGAACUUCUAACC
rnacentral:lncRNA from 10 species